CCUUGACCUCAAAUCGGGUGAGACUACCCGCUGAACUUAAGCAUAUCAAUAAGCGGAGGAAAGAACUAACAAGGAUUCCCCUAGUAACUGCGAGUGAAGCGGGAAAAGCUCAAAUUUAAAAUCUGGUGGCCCUUUUGCCAUCCGAGUUGUAAUUUAGAGAAGCGUCUUCCGCGCUGGACCAUGCAUAAGUCUCCUGGAAUGGAGCGUCAUAGAGGGUGAGAAUCCCGUCUUUGGCAUGGAACCCCAGGGCUUCUGUGAUGCGCUCUCGAAGAGUCGAGUUGUUUGGGAAUGCAGCUCAAAAUGGGUGGUGAACUCCAUCUAAAGCUAAAUAUUGGCGAGAGACCGAUAGCGAACAAGUACCGUGAGGGAAAGAUGAAAAGCACUUUGGAAAGAGAGUGAAACAGUACGUGAAAUUGUUGAAAGGGAAACGCUUGAAGUCAGUCGCAUCGACCGAGACUCAGCCUUGCCUUGGCUUGGUGUACUUCUCGGCUGAUGGGUCAGCAUCGAUUUCGACCCUCAGAUAAUGGUGGAGGAAAGGUGGCACCUUCACGGGUGUGUUAUAGUCCUCUAUCGGAUGUGGGGGUUGGGAUCGAGGAACUCAGCAUGCGCCUCUCGGUGUCGGGGCCUCGGCCCACGUCUACAUGCUUAGGAUGCUGGCGUAAUGGCUUUAACGACCCGUCUGGAAACACGGACCA
rnacentral:rRNA from 1 species